rnacentral:rRNA from 1 species
AGUGAACGCUGGCGGUAUGCCUAACACAUGCAAGUCGAGCGAAAACACAAUAAGCGUUUGCUCCUACCGUUGGCGAGUGACGGGUGGGUAAGACAUACAUAGCAUUCUACUAUUUCGGGGAGAAUAACGUGGAGCCACUUAUGCUACUACCGCAUACGUCCUACGGCUUGAAGCAGUGGAUCUUCACAGUUUUCGCGUUUGUUUGAGCCGAUGUCGGAUUAGCUAGUUGGCUAGGUAACGGCACACCAAGGCAACGAUACGUAGCUGGCCUGAGAGGAUGAUCGGCCACACUGGAACUGAGACACGGUCCAGACUCCUACGGGAGGCAGCAGUAGGGAAUAUUGCGCAAUGGGCGCAAGCCUGACCCAGCCAUGCCGCGUGGGUGAAGAAGGCCUUCGGGUUGUAAAGCCCUUUUGUUGGGGAAGAACAGCAGCGGGUUAAUACCUCGACGUUCUGACGGUACCCAAUCAGAAAGCACCGGCUAACUUCGUG